AAGAAAUGCGGCGGAGGGGCCCAGCGCCCCCGAGCCAACACGUUCUACCCUGCCUUUUGUAUACCCACAACUCCUCCCCGGCCCCCGGGCCGGGACGGCGAAACAAUGAACCUUGCAGUUUACAGUCAAUUCAGUACUCUUGUAACAUAAAUUA
rnacentral:misc_RNA from 1 species